CUUAGUGGCGGACGGGUGAGUAACGCGUGGGUAACCUGCCUUAUACAGGGGGAUAACAGUCAGAAAUGACUGCUAAUACCGCAUAAGCGCACAGGACCGCAUGGUCCGGUGUGAAAAACUCCGGUGGUAUAAGAUGGACCCGCGUUGGAUUAGCUAGUUGGUGAGGUAACGGCCCACCAAGGCGACGAUCCAUAGCCGGCCUGAGAGGGUGAACGGCCACAUUGGGACUGAGACACGGCCCAA
rnacentral:rRNA from 1 species